rnacentral:rRNA from 1 species
UACAGAGGUGGCAAGCGUUGUUCGGAAUUACUGGGCGUAAAGGGCGCGUAGGCGGCCCGAUAAGUCCCGCGUGAAAGCCCCCGGCUCAACUGGGGAACUGCGCGGGAAACUAUCGGGCUUGAGUUCGGGAGAGGGAAGCGGAAUUCCGGGUGUAGCGGUGAAAUGCGUAGAUAUCCGGAGGAACACCGGUGGCGAAGGCGGCUUCCUGGACCGACACUGACGCUGAGGCGCGAAAGCUAGGGGAGCAAACGGGA